AUUGAACGCUGGCGGCAGGCUUAACACAUGCAAGUCGAACGGUAACAGGUCUUCGGGUGCUGACGAGUGGCGAACGGGGGAGUAAUGCAGCGUAACGUACACAGAGGUUGGGGAUAACGCAGCGAAAGCUGUGCUAAUACCGCAUGUGAUCUGAGGGUGAAAGCGUGGGACCGAGCGGCAAUGUUUGACCUCGCGCCUUUGGAGGGGGCGAUGUCGGAUGAGUUGGUUGGUGGGGGAAAGGCCUACCAAGGCGACGAUGCGUAGCUGGUCUGAGAGGACGACCAGCUCCCCUAGAACUGAGCCGCGGCCCAGACUACUCUGGUAGGCAGCAGUGGGGAAUUUUGGACAAGGGGAGGAAGCCUGAUCCAGAAAUGCCGAGUGGGGGAAGAAGUCCUUCGGGUUUUAAUUCUAUUUUGGUAUGAACGAAACGGUGUCCGCUAAUACCGGGCGCUAAUGAAGGUACCUGAAGAAUAAGCACCGGCUAACUCCGUG
rnacentral:rRNA from 1 species